rnacentral:RNase_P_RNA from 1 species
AUAAUUGGGCAAUCGAGCACUUCGGUGUUAGGAAAGUCCAUGCUAGCACGGGCUGUGAUGCCCGUAGUGAUUGUGCUGAACGAAAAAAUAAGUUCAGGCACCGGAGACGGUGACGGCGGGAAAAUGGAAGUUAAAGGCCAAAGUACCCUGAAUGUGCCACAGAGACGAGUUUCGCAAAAUAUGCGAAAAUGAAACGCGGUAAACCCCUCAAGCUAGAAACCCAAAUUUUGGUAGGGGAACGGUGGGUUGGAGAAGCGAAUCUGACUUACUGACGGCUUUGGCCGUAGAUAAAUGAUUGCCACCCAGAAAUGGGUACAGAACAUGGCUUACAGAU